rnacentral:tRNA from 1 species
GGGGUAAAGAUAUAGUCCAUGCCGGAAGGAAACUUUCGGAUUUGUGAAAUCUGUUGCCUUCGGGCUUCGAAGGUUCGAAUCCUUCCCCACCCA